AACGCGGAAGCCGAAAAGCGGGAAGAGAGUAGGCA
rfam:Bacteroidetes bacterium GWE2_42_42 gwe2_scaffold_43, whole genome shotgun sequence.